GGAUAUUUGUUAUGUCUGAUUUAAAAGAGCAAACCAGCACAUUGCAGUAAGCAUCCUGGUGCAGCACUCUGGAUCUAUUCUUGUUUCAUCCCCAACACCAUGCUGUACGUGACUGAGUGACAACAGCAGCCUCCGUACCUGAUAGGAUGUCAGCAAGUCAAUGUUUUGACAGGAUAUUACAUAUGCAAUGACAGGGACUGCAAAUCUCACUCUGCAAAGUUUAUUGAGACACUCUCUUGUGAUGUGACAGGCCAGGAAAAUUGUUGCAGGAGAGUUUAGAUCUAAGCAGUAGUGACUUUAUUGCUGCUCCUGAUUUUUGUCUUUCCUUGUAAAGAGCUGCUGAAGUUCUUCCGAUGCACAAGACGUGAAGUCAGAGCUUAGUAUGGCAUCAUCAGAAUGAUGAAUGGCUGAGAGAGUCAUUGUGCUCUCAUCCUUUUGUUUCAGAAGGGAACAAAAAAAGCUUAAGCCCUGCCCUGAGGGAUACCACACGUGAUUUGGCAACUAUAAGAGAAAACGGCCUUCCAGAUUCAGGCCUUUGACAGAGAAGACCCUGCCCUCCCCAUUGGAUUAUGUUUAGGGAUGGACUGACAAAUUAGCCAAGUGCCAUAUAGUGAGCUGUUGCAUUACUGAUUCCCAGUCACCAUCAUGAUUAGUGCAAUAGAAAUGCACGGAUAGACAGCCACACGCAGAAUAUGAAGACUUCAUUAUUUUUACAAAGUUUACUAUAGCACAUUUACUGAUAUAUUGUAAAGUAUUUUCAUAAAUUAAAACUAAGCAGUUGUCAAAAUAAAUGAGC